rnacentral:rRNA from 1 species
CUUGAAGGAGCACGCCGCGUGAGUGUGAGGUUUUCGGAUCUUAAAACUCUGUUGUCAGAGAAAACAAGUUGGAGAGUAACUGCUCCAGCCUUGACGGUAUCUGACCAGAAAGCCACGGCUAAAUACAUGCCAGCAGCCGCGGUAAUA